rnacentral:rRNA from 1 species
UACGAGGGGUGCAAGCGUUGCUCGGAAUUAUUGGGCGUAAAGGGUAGGUAGGUGGUCUCAUUUGUCUGGGGUGAAAGCCUUGAGCUUAACUCAAGAAGUGCCCCAGAAACGGUGAGACUGGAGUCUUGGAGAGGGUCGUGGAAUUCCCGGUGUAGCGGUGAAAUGCGCAGAUAUCGGGAGGAACACCGGUGGCGAAGGCGGUUCUCUGGGCCUUACCUGACGCUGAGGAGCGAAAGCGUGGGGAGCGAACAGG